GGGGGUGUUUUGGUUUCGACUGGCUUUGCUAUGCCAUAGAUUGCGAACCAAGAGCUGACUUGUAAAACCGGCAAAACAAAUUAAAUGCAAAGAAAGAAGACGACGAGUUCGUAUCUGACGAAGCAUACGCUCUUGCUGCGUAAGCAGUGAUAGCUGGAUAGAGAUGCAUUAAGUUCCUGGUGCGCUUUAUCCUCACCUUAGGGGACUUGCUUUAAAUAGAUGUGCUGAUAUUUAGAGGACUUUAAGCAUUGCUAUAUAGUUACGCUAGUCUCAUUGCUGCGCUAUAUCUAAGAUUAGAAUUGAGACUAUGUUCGUAGACGUUUAUGGGUGGAUUGUUAGGACGAGGGUUCGAAUCCCUCCACCUCCA
rnacentral:tmRNA from 1 species